CGCCAGGUAAGAUGUCCGUUUGGUCUUCUUCGUCUUCUGCCAUGACUGUGAGGUUCCCCUCAGCUGUGUGGAACUGGGAGUCCAUUAAACUUCUUUGAUUUAUAGACGACCCAGUUUCAGGUCAGUGGUUGUCAAAGGCGACAAUGCAUCGGUAUUGUCUGAAGAAAUUUUCAAAUACCUGCUCCUUUCUAGGAUCCAGACACAGGAUAAGAUACAUGUGGGGAAUGACCUUUCCGUGCCUGUGCGGUUUAUUGGGAUUAUAUGUCUGGCAAUUCUCAAGUUAAAUAAUGACUUCUAAGACAGAUAUGAUCCAGACUUCUAUCAGGAAAACAUGGUAAAGGUAAAAGCAAGGGGGUGAUGUAAAGCCUUUUGUUAACACCUCAGAAGAUCUUUGCUACUCUUCUGAAAACAAGAGCCAAGUUCAAUGGAAGAGGAAAGCUGACCCAGAGUGCAGAGUCAAGAGCCACAGAGAACUAGGAAGAAGGGCUGAGCCUUAAUUAACUGAAACUGGAAUCAUAAACUUGGCUUCAUUUAAGGUUGUUGGUAAAUGAAGGCAAAGAAAUAAAUGAAAAAUGUCAAUUUUUCUUAACUCUUAUGGAAAGAUUUGUCUGUGCAUGGAAUUCUGGGUUGAUGACCAUUUUCUUUCUUUGUCUUCAAGUAUUUGCAAUUGUUUAUGAAAUCUAUAUUUUGAAUUUUGGGUCUCUACACUGUGAGUAGCAUGAAUCCCGUAACUUCCAAUGCUGUCAAGUCCUUUUCUACACAGUUUCCCC
rnacentral:lncRNA from 10 species